rnacentral:rRNA from 1 species
UACGUAGGGUGCGAGCGUUAAUCGGAAUUACUGGGCGUAAAGCGUGUGCAGGCGGCGCGUUAAGACAGGUGUGAAAGCCCCGAGCUUAACUUGGGAAUUGCGCUUGUGACUGGCGUGCUGGAGUGUGGCAGAGGGAGGUGGAAUUCCACGUGUAGCAGUGAAAUGCGUAGAGAUGUGGAGGAACACCGAUGGCGAAGGCAGCCUCCUGGGCCAGCACUGACGCUCAUGCACGAAAGCGUGGGGAGCAAACAGG